UACGUAGGGGGCUAGCGUUGUCCGGAAUUACUGGGCGUAAAGCGUGCGCAGGCGGUUCGUUGUGUCGGUGGUGAAAUCCCCGGGCUUAACCUGGGAAUGGCCAUGGAAACUGGCGAACUGGAGUGCGGCAGAGGGGGGUGGAAUUCCGCGUGUAGCAGUGAAAUGCGUAGAGAUGCGGAGGAACACCGAUGGCGAAGGCAGCCCCCUGGGCUAGCACUGACGCUCAGGCACGAAAGCGUGGGGAGCAAACAGG
rnacentral:rRNA from 1 species